rnacentral:miRNA from 1 species
UUACACACAACUGAGGAUCAUA